AGUGAACGCUGGCGGUAGGCCUAACACAUACAAGUCGAACGGCAGCACAGGAGAGCUUGCUCUCUGGGUGGCGAGUGGCGGACGGGUGAGGAAUACAUCGGAAUCUACCCUGUCGUGGGGGAUAACGUAGGGAAACUUACGCUAAUACCGCAUACGAUCUACGGGUGAAAGCAGGGGAUCUUCGGACCUUGCGCGAUUGAAUGAACCGAUGUCGGAUUAGCUAGUUGGCGGGGUAAAGGCCCACCAAGGCGACGAUCCGUAGCUGGUCUGAGAGGAUGAUCAGCCACACUGGGACUGAGACACGGUCCAGACGCCUACGGGAGGCAGCAGUGGGGAAUAUUGGACAAUGGGCGCAAGCCGGAUCCAGCCAUACCGCGUGGGUGAAGAAGGCCUUCGGGUUGUAAAGCCCUUUUGUUGGGAAAGAAAUCCAUCUGGUUAAUACCCGGGUGGGAUGACGGUACCCAAAGAAUAAGCACCGGCUAACUUCGUGCCAGCCGCCGCAGUAA
rnacentral:rRNA from 1 species